GGAGGGUGCAAGCGUUAUCCGGAUUCACUGGGUUUAAAGGGUGCGUAGGUGGGGCGGUAAGCCCUCUGUGAAAUCUUCAGGCUUAACCUGGAAAAGUCGGAGGGGACUGCUGGGCUAGGGGACGGGAGAGGAGCGCGGAAUUCCCGGUGUAGCGGUGAAAUGCGUAGAGAUCGGGAGGAGGGCCGGUGGCGAAGGCGGCGCUCUGGAACGUUUCUGACGCUGAGGCUCGAAAGCGUGGGGAGCAAACAGGAUUAGAUACCCUGGUAGUCCACGCCUUAAACUAUGAAUACUAAGUGUCGGCGGUUUACCGCCGGUGCCGCAGCUAACGCAUUAAGUAUUCCGCCUGGGAAGUACGGCCGCAAGGUUG
rnacentral:rRNA from 1 species